UGCAGUCGAGCGGACGGAUGGGAGCUUGCUCCCUGAAGUUAGCGGCGGACGGGUGAGUAACACGUGGGCAACCUGCCCUGUAGACUGGGAUAACACCGAGAAAUCGGUGCUAAUACCGGAUAACUUCUGAGAUCUCAUGAUCUCGGGAUAAAAGAUGGCUCCGGCUAUCACUGCAGGAUGGGCCCGCGGCGCAUUAGCUAGUUGGUAAGGUAACGGCUUACCAAGGCGACGAUGCGUAGCCGACCUGAGAGGGUGAUCGGCCACACUGGGACUGAGACACGGCCCAGACUCCUACGGGAGGCAGCAGUAGGGAAUCUUCCGCAAUGGACGAAAGUCUGACGGAGCAACGCCGCGUGAGUGAUGAAGGAUUUCGGAUCGUAAAGCUCUGUUGUUAGGGAAGAACAAGUGCCGUUCGAAUAGGUCGGCACCUUGACGGUACCUAACCAGAAAGCCACGGCUAACUACGUGCCAGCAGCCGCGGUAAUACGUAGGUGGCAAGCGUUGUCCGGAAUUAUUGGGCGUAAAGCGCGCGCAGGCGGUCUUUUAAGUCUGAUGUGAAAGCCCCCGGCUCAACCGGGGAGGGUC
rnacentral:rRNA from 1 species